UUAGAUUCCAAUAAUGAUCAAAAAAUUAAAAAUAUGAUUCUGGGUGAUAAAACUUGUUAGGAGUAGCAACUAUACAACUCGAAAAAGAUCCAGUUAAAUAUAAUAGAUAAAAAGGAGAAAAACAAAAUUGGAAUAAGAAAGGAGUUGGUAGUCUUGGUUAUAGAGAAGGGAAAGAAAGUUCAUCGAAGAAGUUGCCAUUGGGACCCGAUUGGAUGGGGCAAAGCCAGCGGGAAGCACGAAGGCUUCCCCGACCGUGACGAGGAGAAUCGCACUCCGCCUCCUCCUGGGUGAGGACGACUGAGAGAGAAAAGCACUGAGAGGUAUUUGGGUGAGGGAGAGCCAGCGUUGAUUCACACUCCGUCUUAAGAAUGGCAAUAAAAACCGAACCCGUGGGUAUCUCAGGUCUUAGCAAAGACUCUAACCUGAACUCGCCCCGAAGUAAGGUAAUUCAAUUUAAAAUUGAAAUUUCUAUCAUUUGCCAAUUGUUUUUAAUUUUUAAUUUUACUUUACAUACUAUUGAAUCUUCAAACAUAAAAGAAAU
rnacentral:lncRNA from 1 species